AUACGGAGGGGGUUAGCGUUGUUCGGAAUUACUGGGCGUAAAGCGCGCGUAGGCGGACUGGAAAGUUGGGGGUGAAAUCCCAGGGCUCAACCCUGGAACUGCCUCCAAAACUAUCAGUCUAGAGUUCGAGAGAGGUGAGUGGAAUUCCGAGUGUAGAGGUGAAAUUCGUAGAUAUUCGGAGGAACACCAGUGGCGAAGGCGGCUCACUGGCUCGAUACUGACGCUGAGGUGCGAAAGUGUGGGGAGCAAACAGGAUUAGAAACCCUAGUAGUCC
rnacentral:rRNA from 1 species